ensembl:lncRNA
AGAAAGUAGAAGAAUAACUUCUGUUGCCAGCUCAUGUGUGCAGAGUGGCUCUAUGUCAAAGUCCACACUUUCCACACUCUGGGGGAGUAUCUCCCAGGGCAGAACUUAAACAGCAGCUACUAGUAUGGCAGCACGAGGUAUCUGACACUGGUCCUAGAGCUGCAUAUCCAUGAACAUCCUCAGCAUGCACUGGAUGUUCCAAAUUAUCUUCCACCUCUGCCAACACCAGAUGAACUGAAUUGCUCACAGAUUGGAACUGCUGACAUAAACCGUCAAUGUGAAUUCAACCACUGCACUUCAAUCAACUUCAGCAUGAGCCUGAUUAACUCAGAGCAUUGGCGGUCUGCACUAAACAACCCAUCAUCUGGCAGUCACUCACACUUUGCCUUCCUGUGGUGUGGCAGAUGGCAGUUUUCACCCCAGCUAUCCCUGCAGCCCAAGGCAGAUGGCAAGACUCCUUGGUCUGUGCUGACAAACUAAGGCUUCCUCAGUGAUCAAAUAAGAUACUCCCAACCUAAUUCUGGCUCACCUGGAGCUGCCUCUGCAUCUGGAGAUGUGAUAUCACAGGGAAUAAAACACUGCUCAAACUGUGGUGUUAUGGAGUUCGUAUGGUGCUGAAAUGAGUUUGAAUUUUGUCACUUUGGAAAGUUGCAUGAAUUUAUUUUAAUUAUUCAAGCUGGUGUCACAGGACUAUUCUAUUUUUUAAAUAAAUGAGAGCAUGUUUAAAUAUUUAA